GCGGCAUUUGAAUUAGAUGUCGGGCCUGUAAGUUACAUUUUACUGUAACUGUUAUAAACUAUAUCGGUUAAGAAAUCCCUUUUCUCCUUCUUUCCUGUGUAAUCUGUAAUCUCUGGUGGCCGACUCUAACACCAGGAGGCAGCGUUAUAAUAUAUCAUCCAUAAUAGGCUUCGACCUGUACUAACUGAUGAGCGAACAUUUGAUAUUUCUUGAUAGCUGAGUGAUAGACCUUCUUGCUAUUUCUUCAAAUCUA
rnacentral:lncRNA from 1 species